CUUACUUAUGAUAUAAUACGUUCAAUUGAAUAACAAAGUGUAAUAUGAAAAUCGGUUAAAAUCCGAUGCGGUACCGCCACUGUAAAAGUGAGCCUCUGUAAAAUCGAUCAACACUGGAAAGAAAUUUCUGGGAAGUUGUUACAGAAGGCGAUGAUCUUAAGCCAGGAUGCUUCUACAUUUUGUCAUAA
rnacentral:ncRNA from 1 species